CAUGCACCAGUGGGGUCCCUCGGCCUGGCCUGCACCCUCUCGAAAUCCAGGACCCCUCAGGGGAUGUUGGAGAGCCGAUUUCGGCCAAUCCUACAGGCCAGGCUGAGGGACCCCACUGGUGCACG
rfam:Myotis lucifugus cont2.10448, whole genome shotgun sequence.